UGCAGUCGAGCGGUAACAGGAGAAGCUUGCUUCUCGCUGACGAGCGGCGGACGGGUGAGUAAUACUUAGGAAUCUACCUAGUAGUGGGGGAUAGCUCGGGGAAACUCGAAUUAAUACCGCAUACGACCUACGGGAGAAAGGGGGCAACUUGUUGCUCUCGCUAUUAGAUGAGCCUAAGUCGGAUUAGCUAGAUGGUGGGGUAAAGGCCUACCAUGGCGACGAUCUGUAGCUGGUCUGAGAGGAUGAUCAGCCACACCGGGACUGAGACACGGCCCGGACUCCUACGGGAGGCAGCAGUGGGGAAUAUUGGACAAUGGGGGCAACCCUGAUCCAGCCAUGCCGCGUGUGUGAAGAAGGCCUUUUGGUUGUAAAGCACUUUAAGCAGUGAAGAAGACUCCAUGGUUAAUACCCAUGGACGAUGACAUUAGCUGCAGAAUAAGCACCGGCUAACUCUGUGCCAGCAGCCGCGGUAAUACAGAGGGUGCAAGCGUUAAUCGGAAUUACUGGGCGUAAAGCGAGCGUAGGUGGCUUGAUAAGUCAGAUGUGAAAGCCCCGGGCUUAACCUGGGAACGGCAUCUGAUACUGUUAGGCUAGAGUAGGUGAGAGGAAGGUAGAAUUCCAGGUGUAGCGGUGAAAUGCGUAGAGAUCUGGAGGAAUACCGAUGGCGAAGGCAGCCUUCUGGCAUCAUACUGACACUGAGGUUCGAAAGCGUGGGUAGCAAACAGGAUUAGAUACCCUGGUAGUCCACGCCGUAAACGAUGUCUACUAGUCGUUGGGUCCCUUGAGGACUUAGUGACGCAGCUAACGCAAUAAGUAGACCGCCUGGGGAGUACGGCCGCAAGGUUAAAACUCAAAUGAAUUGACGGGGGCCCGCACAAGCGGUGGAGCAUGUGGUUUAAUUCGAUGCAACGCGAA
rnacentral:rRNA from 1 species